GUGACUGCGUACCUUUUGUAUAAUGGGUCAGCGACUUAUAUUCUGUAGCAAGGUUAACCGAAUAGGGGAGCCGGAGGGAAACCGAGUCUUAACCGGGCGUUAAGUUGCAGGGUAUAGACCCGAAACCCGGUGAUCUAGCCAUGGGCAGGUUGAAGGUUGGGUAACACUAACUGGAGGACCGAACCGACUAAUGUUGAAAAAUUAGCGGAUGACCUGUGGCUGGGGGUGAAAGGCCAAUCAAACCGGGAGAUAGCUGGUUCUCCCCGAAAGCUAUUUAGGUAGCGCCUCGUGAAUUCAUCUCCGGGGGUAGAGCACUGUUUCGGCUAGGGGGCCAUCCCGGCUUACCAACCCGAUGCAAACUGCGAAUACCGGAGAAUGUUAUCACGGGAGACACACGGCGGGUGCUAACGUCCGUCGUGAAGAGGGAAACAACCCAGACCGCCAGCUAAGGUCCCAAAGUCAUGGUUAAGUGGGAAACGAUGUGGGAAGGCCCAGACAGCCAGGAUGUUGGCUUAGAAGCAGCCAUCAUUUAAAGAAAGCGUAAUAGCUCACUGGUCGAGUCGGCCUGCGCGGAAGAUGUAACGGGGCUAAACCAUGCACCGAAGCUGCGGCAGCGACGCUGAUGCGUUGUUGGGUAGGGGAGCGUUCUGUAAGCCUGCGAAGGUGGCCUGUGAGGGUUGCUGGAGGUAUCAGAAGUGCGAAUGCUGACAUAAGUAACGAUAAAGCGGGUGAAAAGCCCGCUCGCCGGAAGACCAAGGGUUCCUGUCCAACGUUAAUCGGGGCAGGGUGAGUCGACCCCUAAGGCGAGGCCGAAAGGCGUAGUCGAUGGGAAACGGGUUAAUAUUCCCGUACUUGGUGUUACUGCGAAGGGGGGACGGAGAAGGCUAUGUUGGCCGGGCGACGGUUGUCCCGGUUUAAGCGUGUAGGUGUGUGUUCCAGGUAAAUCCGGUUCACUUUAACACUGAGGCGUGAUGACGAGGCACUACGGUGCUGAAGCAACAAAUGCCCUGCUUCCAGGAAAAGCCUCUAAGCAUCAGGUAACAUCAAAUCGUACCCCAAACCGACACAGGUGGUCAGGUAGAGAAUACCAAGGCGCUUGAGAGAACUCGGGUGAAGGAACUAGGCAAAAUGGUGCCGUAACUUCGGGAGAAGGCACGCUGACACGUAGGUGAAGUGAUUUACUCAUGGAGCUGAAGUCAGUCGAAGAUACCAGCUGGCUGCAACUGUUUAUUAAAAACACAGCACUGUGCAAACACGAAAGUGGACGUAUACGGUGUGACGCCUGCCCGGUGCCGGAAGGUUAAUUGAUGGGGUCAGCGCAAGCGAAGCUCCUGAUCGAAGCCCCGGUAAACGGCGGCCGUAACUAUAACGGUCCUAAGGUAGCGAAAUUCCUUGUCGGGUAAGUUCCGACCUGCACGAAUGGCGUAAUGAUGGCCAGGCUGUCUCCACCCGAGACUCAGUGAAAUUGAACUCGCUGUGAAGAUGCAGUGUACCCGCGGCAAGACGGAAAGACCCCGUGAACCUUUACUAUAGCUUGACACUGAACAUUGAGCCUUGAUGUGUAGGAUAGGUGGGAGGCUUUGAAGUGUGGACGCCAGUCUGCAUGGAGCCGGCCUUGAAAUACCACCCUUUAAUGUUUGAUGUUCUAACGUGGACCCGUGAUCCGGGUUGCGGACAGUGUCUGGUGGGUAGUUUGACUGGGGCGGUCUCCUCCUAAAGAGUAACGGAGGAGCACGAAGGUUGGCUAAUCCUGGUCGGACAUCAGGAGGUUAGUGCAAUGGCAUAAGCCAGCUUGACUGCGAGCGUGACGGCGCGAGCAGGUGCGAAAGCAGGUCAUAGUGAUCCGGUGGUUCUGAAUGGAAGGGCCAUCGCUCAACGGAUAAAAGGUACUCCGGGGAUAACAGGCUGAUACCGCCCAAGAGUUCAUAUCGACGGCGGUGUUUGGCACCUCGAUGUCGGCUCAUCACAUCCUGGGGCUGAAGUAGGUCCCAAGGGUAUGGCUGUUCGCCAUUUAAAGUGGUACGCGAGCUGGGUUUAGAACGUCGUGAGACAGUUCGGUCCCUAUCUGCCGUGGGCGCUGGAGAACUGAGGGGGGCUGCUCCUAGUACGAGAGGACCGGAGUGGACGCAUCACUGGUGUUCGGGUUGUCAUGCCAAUGGCACUGCCCGGUAGCUAAAUGCGGAAGAGAUAAGUGCUGAAAGCAUCUAAGCACGAAACUUGCCCCGAGAUGAGU
rnacentral:rRNA from 1 species